AGAGUUUGAUUAUGGCUCAGAACGAACGCUGGCGGCAGGCCUAACACAUGCAAGUCGAACGCGUGUAGCAAUACACGAGUGGCGCACGGGUGAGUAACACGUGGGAAUCAACCCUGAGGUUCGGAAUAACCGCGGGAAACUGCGGCUAAUACCGAAUAUCCCCUAUGGGGGAAAGAUUUAUCGCCUUGGGACGAGCCCGCGUCCGAUUAGCUAGUUGGUGAGGUAACGGCUCACCAAGGCUACGAUCGGUAGCUGGUCUGAGAGGAUGACCAGCCACACUGGAACUGAGAUACGGUCCAGACUCCUACGGGAGGCAGCAGUGGGGAAUAUUGGGCAAUGGAGGCAACUCUGACCCAGCCAUGCCGCGUGGGUGACGAAGGUCUUCGGAUUGUAAAGCCCUUUCGGCGGGGACGAUGAUGACGGUACCCGCAGAAGAAGCCCCGGCUAACUUCGUGCCAGCCGCCGCGGUAA
rnacentral:rRNA from 1 species